UACGUAGGGUGCAAGCGUUGUCCGGAAUUAUUGGGCGUAAAGAGCUCGUAGGCGGCUUGUCGCGUCUGCUGUGAAAACCUGGGGCUCAACCCCGGGCCUGCAGCCGAUACGGGCAAGCUAGAAUUCGGUAGGGGAGACUGGAAUUCCUGGUGUAGCGGUGAAAUGCGCAGAUAUCAGGAGGAACACCGGUGGCGAAGGCGGAUCUCUGGGCCUGUCCUGACGCUGAGGCGCGAAAGCUAGGGGAGCGAACAGG
rnacentral:rRNA from 1 species